rnacentral:rRNA from 1 species
GUCCACGCCCUAACGAUGAAUGCCAGACGUCGGGCAGCAUGCUGUUCGGUGUCACACCUAACGGAUUAAGCAUUCCGCCUGGGAGUACGGCCGCAAGGUUAAACUCAAAGGAAUUGACGGGGCCCGCACAAGCGGUGGAGCAUGUGGUUUAAUUCGAAGCAACGCGCAGAACCUUACCAACCCUUGACAUGGGUAUCGCGGGACCGGAGACGGUUCUUUCAGUUCGGCUGGAUACCACACAGGUGCUGCAUGGCUGUCGU